GGAUUAGAUACCCUGGUAGUCCACGCCGUAAACUAUGGAUGCUAGCUGUAAGUCGUAUCGACCCGACUUGUAGCGAAGCUAACGCGUUAAGCAUCCCACCUGUGGAGUACGAGCGCAAGCUUAAAACAUAAAGGAAUUGACGGGGACCCGCACAAGCGGUGGAGCGUGUUGUUUAAUUCGAUGAUAAGCGAAGAACCUUACCAAGGCUUGACAUCCUGUGAAGCACUGCGAAAGCAGAGUGUGCCGCAAGGAGCACAGUGACAGGUGAUGCAUGGCCGUCGUCAGCUCGUGCCG
rnacentral:rRNA from 1 species